UUCGAAGGGGGCUAGCGUUGCUCGGAAUCACUGGGCGUAAAGCGCACGUAGGCGGCUUUCUAAGUCAGGGGUGAAAUCCUGGAGCUCAACUCCAGAACUGCCUUUGAUACUGGAGAGCUAGAGUCCGGAAGAGGUGAGUGGAACUGCGAGUGUAGAGGUGAAAUUCGUAGAUAUCCGCAAGAACACCAGUGGCGAAGGCGGCUCACUGGUCCGGUACUGACGCUGAGACGCGAAAGCGUGGGGAGCGAACAGG
rnacentral:rRNA from 1 species